CUACCAUAUCCCUCUGGAAGAUGUUUACUCCGUUCUUGUCAAGCAGUGGUACAACUCUACAACUUUUAAAAGCAUAAUAUGUUUUGACUGAUAGGGUUUGUGCUCUCAAGACUGAAAGUUGUGGUCCUAGCACUCUCUCUUCUCCUAAGUCAAGAAACUUCUCUUCUCUUAAUCUUAAUUCAUUUUCUGUUCCCUGAGAUGUUUCUGAUCGUUUGAAUAACAUUGAUGCAAGACUAAAUGGUCUCACAGAUCUUGUUCUUGGCACUCAUUUUCAGAUGGAGAAAAUUUGGGAGUCUCAAAGAAAACUAGUGCUGACGUUGGUUUCAUGCAUAUCAAAUUGAAUCAAGUAAUUCAUGAGGCCAUUAAACUUGCUACUAAGAUUCGCCCUAGUACUGAUGCUAUCUCCACUGUGAUUACUACUCAGUUCACAAACCUGAAGGAUGCCACAAUAAAAAACUAGGCUUAUUUUCUUUGUCUCGGAGAAUGCUAAAUCCCCUCUACAUGUUUCUUAUUCCCGACCCUUGUGUUGCUCGUUUAAGAUAACUUUUUUGGUUUUGGUCCUGUAAUUAAGCAUAAGCUCACUGUUGCUACGUUACUUGCAUGUUUUGCUAGUUGUUCUCUAUUUAUUUUGCAUACUCUGUUAUUCUUCCUUUCUGAUAGAUGUCAAAGGAGAAAAAAUAGAAAACUUAUUUACAGGUAUAAACACAAGUCGAAUAGUUCGGCUAUCUAGGGGGGACUACUCAGGGGGGAGUUAAAAUGGGGGAAGUGGCUACACC
rnacentral:lncRNA from 1 species